UACAGAGGGGGCAAGCGUUGUUCGGAAUUACUGGGCGUAAAGGGCGCGUAGGCGGCCUGCUAAGUCGAACGUGAAAUCCCUGGGCUCAACCCAGGAACUGCGUCCGAUACUGGUUGGCUUGAAUCCGGGAGAGGGACGUGGAAUUCCAGGUGUAGCGGUGAAAUGCGUAGAGAUGCGGAGGAACACCGAUGGCGAAGGCAGCCCCCUGGGCCAACACUGACGCUCAGGCACGAAAGCGUGGGGAGCAAACAGG
rnacentral:rRNA from 1 species